rnacentral:misc_RNA from 1 species
GAUGAAGAACGUAGCGAAAUGCGAUAAGUAGUGUGAAUUGCAGAAUUCAGUGAAUCAUCGAAUCUUUGAACGCACAUUGCGCCUUCUAGUAUUCUGGGAGGCAUGCUUGUUUGAGCGUCAUUAAACCUCUCUCAAGUAUGAUUACUUGGAUGUGAAGGAAGAGUACCUUAAACUUAAGGAGUGUUCUCCUUUGAAAUUGAUUAGCAGAUGGUAAUGUUAUUAAAUCCCUGAUGUUGUAAGAAAUAACAGUGGUUUUGUAGACUAUUAUCUAGCUUUAAAUUAUAAUUUUUAUUAUGGUUGACCUCAAAUCAGGUAAGGAUACCCGCUGAACUUAAGCAUAUCAAUAAGCGGAGGA